UUUCUUGUUUAAUUCUUGGGAAUCAGGUCAGCCUUAGUACGCGUGAUAAUGAAAUGUCAAGAAAGUUAUCGAAGAUAUUGGAGGGACUUAGAAUGAUUGAUCUUUCAUAUCAUCAGCUGUGUCAUCUUGUAAGACAAGGUGAACAGCCCAGAGAAGGCUUCUUACUUCUUGUAAACCUUGUUGAGGACCAGAUCGGUGGUAGCAGUGGUUAUAUGGAUUGGGUUCUGCAGAUACAUCGACAAGUACAGCAGAAUCCAUAGUACAAAGAGAUACCAGUGGCUUGUUCUGUGCUUCAUUGAGAAAGUGAUCCGAGCAUUUGUUCAAUACCGUAAAUAACCUUUGAUUUCAGCCACAAGUUCCUCGCAAAAUGUGGAUGUUUGAGUCGCCGAUAAUGAUCACCUUCACUGGAAAGAUUUUCAGACGACAAUCUGUUGCUUCACUACAGGAUUCAAUAACUUGGGGAGAUGCACUUUUAAUGAUACAUUGUUUUACUUCGAGUUUUCAUAUUGAAACGCAACAGAGCAAAAUUUUAUUUGAUAGCUAAAAUUAUUGUCAGUAAAUUUUUUUACUUAGUGAUAUAUUUUUAAGAACCCUUUAGGUAUUUGCUUUGUUUAGAGAGGUGUGUUCCAAUUUCUUGACAUUGUUCAUUGUCAAUUUUGUUCUGAUAUUUGAAGCAAUGCUAAAUUUGCCUUUCUGGGCUUUGAAUGGAUAUUACUUUUGAUAUA